CACUCCUACGGGAGGCAGCAGUGGGGAAUAUUGCACAAUGGGCGCAAGCCUGAUGCAGCCAUGCCGCGUGUAUGAAGAAGGCCUUCGGGUUGUAAAGUACUUUCAGCGGGGAGGAAGGCGAUAAGGUUAAUAACCUUGUUGAUUGACGUUACCCGCAGAAGAAGCACCGGCUAACUCCGUGCCAGCAGCCGCGGUAAUACGGAGGGUGCAAGCGUUAAUCGGAAUUACUGGGCGUAAAGCGCACGCAGGCGGUCUGUCAAGUCGGAUGUGAAAUCCCCGGGCUCAACCUGGGAACUGCAUUCGAAACUGGCAGGCUAGAGUCUUGUAGAGGGGGGUAGAAUUCCAGGUGUAGCGGUGAAAUGCGUAGAGAUCUGGAGGAAUACCGGUGGCGAAGGCGGCCCCCUGGACAAAGACUGACGCUCAGGUGCGAAAGCGUGGGGAGCAAACAGGAUUAGAUACCCGUGUAGUCCCAU
rnacentral:rRNA from 1 species